UGGGGGAUAUUGCACAAUGGGCGAAAGCCUGAUGCAGCGACGCCGCGUGGGGGAUGAAGGCUUUCGGGUUGUAAACCUCUUUCGCUAUCGAACAAGGCCCGCUUAGGGUGGGUUGAGGGUAGGUGGAGAAGAAGCGCCGGCUAACUACGUGCCAGCAGCCGCGGUAAUACGUAGGGCGCGAGCGUUGUCCGGAAUUAUUGGGCGUAAAGGGAGUGUAGGCGGCUUGUUGCGCCUGCUGUGAAAACGCGGGGCUUUACUUCGCGCGUGCAGUGGGUACGGGCAGGCUUGAGUGUGGUAGGGGUGACUGGAAUUCCGGGUGUGGCGGUGGAUUGAGCGAAUAUCUGGAGGAACACCGAUGGCGAAGGCAGGUGACUGGGCCAUUACUGACGCUGAGGAGCGAAAGCAUGGGUAGCGAACAGG
rnacentral:rRNA from 1 species